AAAGAUUAAUAUUUUCGAUUAAUCUAGUUUAUUCUGGUUACAAUUUCUUUCUGGAAGGGUAGUUUCAUAUAUACGGAAGUAAUAUAUAAUUCCAAGCGACGCUUAGAUCGUUUCCAUGGAUACACUCGCGAUAUUUCACGGGAUAGAAACCGGUAUAAAAAGUCAUGUGACCGCCACGUUGUCGCGCACAACUGAUUUUGUAGAGGUCGAAGUAACAUAAAUUAAGCAAGUUGGUAGCAAUGCCGGGUAGAGGGAGAGGAAAACGGAUAAAUUUGAGACGCAGACCCGGGACGAUGGCACAGGGGGGAACAGGGCAGGGAGAAACGAGACAAGGCCUAAGAAAACGGCCCAGAGCGGAUACAAUAGAGCCCACCAGUAGUGGAGCCGGUCGGGAGAAACGCCGACAACCUGCCAUGGAUGACGGAACAGACCCGGAUUCAGGUAAUCUAAUUGAUUUUGAACAAAUUAUUCGGGCCUCACAAAUAUCGCAUGAUAUUCAAAAUAGAGAACAUGUUAAUGCUGAGAAGCCUAGCGGGCAUGAUAGCGCUAACUCGUCAGAAAACUCUGCGACCGUCAGUGCCAGGUCGAAUUCGAACCAAAGCUUUAUCAGCAGUGAGCAACAGCAAGCGUAUAAUGGCGACAAAACGUACAUGAGGUCGGUAUUGGACCUAACAUCAAACUCUGAUAAUCUGUUGUUACAAGGUUAUAACGUCGCACGCUUAGCUCAAGAUGAUAUUGCUCUACACGUUCCCUCCAGCCUAAAACAAAAAAUUUGUAAAGGCGAAUUUGUGAAUUUAUCUUUACUCUUGAAGGGUGCGGUGGAUCUUGCCGAAUUUACUGCCGGUAGUACUUUAAGGUUAUCAAAUAACGGCACCAUAAAAUGCCGUCCAAAGGAAUGUAGAGAUGAUAUCGGCUCAGUAGAACGCUGGACAGAUUCUUUCAUUAUAUACAUGUUAAUUUACUUAACAGCUCAUCCACAUAAAAUCCACGAGCUUUGACAAUACCUUUUUAUAAUCCGUGAAUGUGCGUCGCGUCACGGUGAAAAAUUUUGGAAAGUGUAUGAUCAACAAUUUCGCAUGCGCCAAUCAAUAGUACCGUCGUCGUGGGCUAUAAUCAACCAUGAUCUUUGGAUAAGAUGUAUGCCACUCGGAAAUGAAAUUUCAAAACAGUUCACGGUUGCACAAAAACCGGCAAAUAUUUGUUUACCUUUCAAUAAAGGAACAUGCAACUGGCAAAAUUGUAAGUUCAAGCAUGUCUGUUACCAUUGCGGUCGUUCUCAUACAAUUCUUGACUGCAAUAUAAGUUCAAAACCUCAAACCGUGCAACAAACGUCACCGAACGUAAAUUCCGGAGACCAUGCAUAUUUUGGUAAUUCCUUUUGGGGUCGUGGGUCAUGGCGUGGCCAGCGCGGCUACCCUAGCAAUCACCGAGGUGCAAGAAAAAAUUGAGAAUGAACCUGUAGUGCAAGAAAAAACACGUCAACUUAGCUAAUUCAUCAAUAAAAAUCCAAGCGUUAGAAUUCUGGCUGAGAAAAUAUAAAUCCUCUGAUGCUAACAUCUUUUUGAAUGGUUUUAAAUAGGGACUCGUCAAGCUCGUACGUCAAAAAGUCUUAAAUCCAUUUAUCAAUUAUCGGAAGUGGCUCAACGUUAAAUUCAAAAAGAAAUUGAUGCUGGCCGAGUUGGUGGCCCAUUUGAUAGCAGUUCUGUUAAAAACAUUCAAAUUACACCAAUUGGUAUUAUUCCCAAGAAAACACCUGACGAAUAUAGGUUAAUCCACCACUUGUCAUAUCCAGAAGGCCACUCCACAAAUGAUUUCAGUGACCCAAAAUUAUGCUCCGUUAAAUACACAGAGUUCGAUGAAGCGAUUCAAAUGAUUCAAGAUUUAGAGAUUUAACUGUUAUCUUUUCAAAAUGGACAUAAAAAACGCGUUCAGGUUGCUACCUAUUCAUCCUGACAAUUACGAGCUAUUAGGGUUCAAGUUCAAGGACAAAAUAUAUUUUUGAUAAAGCUUUACCAUUUGGCUGCAGUAUUUCUCCGAGUCUUUUUGAAAUUUUUUUAUACUUUUUUAGAAUUUUGUGUUAAAACAAGAACGCAGUCAAGUCACAUGAUACAUUAUCUUGACGACUUUUUAGGCGGUGAAAAUAAGGAAACGUUUGUAAAGCAGUCAUGCACGUAUUUCAGUCAGUCAUGCAAGAGUCAGGUGUGCCUCUCGCCGACGAGAAGACCGAAAGCCCAACUCAAGUAAUGUUAGGUUUAGAAUUAGAUUCUCAAAAAAUGGAAGUUCGAAUCCCGUUCACAAAAAUUACUGAAGUAGUUCAAAAAACUGAAAUCAUUUUGUCCGAAAAGUUAGUAACAUUAAAAGAAAUACAGUCCUUAAUUGGGUCAUUAAAUUUCUGUUGCCGCGCUAUCGCCGUCGGUAGACCAUUUUGGGCUGAUAAACUCUACUUGCGGCAUAAAACAAUCUUACAAUCAUGUCCGGGCGAAUAAGGGGAUAAAACUGGAUCUAAAAUGUGGUUACAGUUCUUUAAACAAUGUAAUGGAAUAUCAGUAUUUCACGAUAGAUUUUGGGUAUCUAAUCAUGAGCAAUUUCACAGAGACAGUGAAAUACACAGGCAACAAUAUACAUCAUCAAACGUAUACUAUUCUGCACAUUAACAUAACGUUAUUUUAAACAACGUUCGGAUGCUAAAUACGUUUUUGGACGUCACAAGAUCGUAUAAAAUAUACCCAUAACCCAACCCUCCCCCAAAAAAGAAAGCUGGUUGUAACACAAUAUCUUUUAAUGUACGUCCAUUAUAGAUUUCAAAUCAAAAAUGGAAAUAAACCGUAAAAUAUUAUCAGUAUAGCAGCUUUAACGUUAUGAUAAUUCAGUUUUUCGACGAGUCUUCGGCAUAAUUUAGAUCUACUUUAUCUAAAUAAUUUUAAAAGUAAAUAACAUCAAUGACCUCGAAAUCAAACUAUAAAUAACUCUCCGCGAUGUACAUGUACUCUCGAUUCCUUUAUCGGGUACGCAUUACACAGCUAUGCUAAACAGGAACGGGAACCAAAUGCAUCUAAUUUUAGAUCCACGCAUGCGUAGACACUGACACGUGCAGAUUUGACAGAUCGCGCGAGUUAGAGGGAGAUAACUACUGAUGCAAAAUAAAUGCAUAGGUUGCUGACAUCUUCGCUUUUCCGUACUUUAUUUAUAAAUGGUCCCGUGUGUUCGGGAUGAAUACAACUUACUCGGGAAAAUGAAUGUACGAAAAACAAAGAAAAAUGGAAAUACAAGCAGAUUUAAUUCAUUGUUUAACGGGCAGGAAGCACACAAAUGAGACAUGUAAGCUAUCGCACCAAUUACGUAUACAGCUGAACUGCUGCAGAAUUGUGGUUAACCAAAUAUGGAACAAUACAGAACUGAAUAGCUUAAACUAAUUGGAGUUACCUGGUGAAUAUAUCUUGUCUGGAUAAACAUUACAGUAUCAGUUCAGUGUGGUGUGAAAGCCAGCCUUGUAGGUUUAUGUGUACAAGUUUUCUACAGUCUCGAGUGAAAUAGUAAUUUUACGCGCCAUGGGAACUCUGACAAUAUUUGAAUAUAUGUUAUGAAAAUAUUUCAUGUAUCUAAGAGAACUGAAAUAAAUUUAGGGUUGAAAUAGAACAAACAUUAACUCUAACAAUUUAUGUGUAGCUUCAUGUGUGCUAUAUUAUAGUAAUACCGUAAAAAAUCAUAUUUGUUGAUCCAUGUUAAAUACAUGUCUAUUGAUAUUAUUGAUGCAUGUUAUAUGAUUUAAUCAUUCCUUUUUCAUUCAACUUCUCAUUAUCUUCUUUUCCUUUCUUUGUCGUGUCUGCGGAAAAUUCUUAUGCUUGGAGGCGAUCGAGGGUAUCAGAUAGGAACAGGGGCAUUAAAUACAAUAAUUAAAAUCUCUUUUGCAUACACAUGAGUCUCCAAGCCUGUCAGAGCUGUUAACUUUGAAGGCAUUGGCCUCAUGUGGCUAAAACAUUAUAGUUUUUUGGGACUAGGUUUUGGUUUAAGAACUGGCCAGAGCGAAAAGGGCUAGCCGUUCUUAUAGUAACUCCCCCAUUUUUAUAGGAAUAUUUCGUAGUAGGUUUAGUAGGAAUUACACAACGUUGCGCCAGUGGUUCUAUAUUGGUACCAGUGGGGUACCUGGUGUUAUUAUGGUACCAUUGGGGUACCUGGUGUUAUUAUGGUACCAUUGGGGUACCUGGUGUUAUUUUGGUACCAUUGGGGUACCUGGUGUUAUUAUGGUACUAACGGAGUACCUGGUUCUAUUACGGUACCAACGGGGUACCUGGUAUUAUUUCAUAGCACGAGAGGAGCGUGCUUGGUAAGUAUAAAUAAUCGGGGGCGCAACGGGGAUUGGUUUUCUUCAUUAUAUGCCCUUGGUUGUCUCCAUGUAUGAGAAUUUUUCAGUUUCAAUAGCUGUUAACUAUUGAAACUACUGCGGACAUGACCAUUUUGCUCCAUUUUAUUCUGAAUUGAAUCUGCUAUGCUUAAAUUAGAAUGAUGUUUUGGUUUACAUGAUAUUAUAAUUUAUUAAAUGGAAAAAACUUA